rnacentral:rRNA from 1 species
UACGAAGGGUGCAAGCGUUAAUCGGAAUUACUGGGCGUAAAGCGUGCGCAGGCGGUUUUGUAAGACUGUCGUGAAAUCCCCGGGCUCAACCUGGGAAUGGCGAUGGUGACUGCAAGGCUAGAGUUUGGCAGAGGGGGGUAGAAUUCCACGUGUAGCAGUGAAAUGCGUAGAUAUGUGGAGGAACACCGAUGGCGAAGGCAGCCCCCUGGGUCAAAACUGACGCUCAUGCACGAAAGCGUGGGGAGCAAACAGG